AUGUCUGGGAAACUGCCUGAUGGAGGGGGAUAACUACUGGAAACGGUAGCUAAUACCGCAUAACGUCGCAAGACCAAAGAGGGGGACCCUCGGGCCUCUUGCCAUCGGAUGUGCCCAGAUGGGAUUAGCUUGUUGGUGGGGUAACGGCUCACCAAGGCGACGAUCCCUAGCUGGUCUGAGAGGAUGACCAGCCACACUGGAACUGAGACACGGUCCAGACUCCUACGGGAGGCAGCAUG
rnacentral:rRNA from 1 species